GACGAACGCUGGCGGCGUGCUUAACACAUGCAAGUCGAGCGGUAAGGCCCUUUCGGGGGUACACGAGCGGCGAACGGGUGAGUAACACGUGGGUGACCUGCCCUUAGCUCUGGGAUAAGCCUGGGAAACUGGGUCUAAUACCGGAUAUGACUCCAUGACGCAUGUUGUGGGGCGGAAAGCCUUGUGCGGCUAGGGAUGGGCCCGCGGCCUAUCAGCUUGUUGGUGGGGUGAUGGCCUACCAAGGCGACGACGGGUAGCCGGCCUGAGAGGGCGACCGGCCACACUGGGACUGAGACACGGCCCAGACUCCUACGGGAGGCAGCAGUGGGGAAUCUUGCGCAAUGGGCGAAAGCCUGACGCAGCGACGCCGCGUGAGGGAUGACGGCCU
rnacentral:rRNA from 1 species